rnacentral:rRNA from 1 species
GACGAACGCUGGCGGCGUGCUUAACACAUGCAAGUCGAACGGAGCGAAUGAAAGCUUGCUUUUAUAAGCUUAGUGGCAAACGGGUGAGUAACACGUAGACAACCUGCCGACAGGAUGGGGACAACAUUCCGAAAGGAAUGCUAAUACCGAAUGAAGUCGAGGGAAGGCAUCUUCCUUCGAUGAAAGAUGGCCUCUAUAUAUAAGCUAUCACCUGUUGAUGGGUCUGCGUCUGAUUAGCUGGUAGGUGAGGUAACGGCUCACCUAGGCGACGAUCAGUAGCCGGUCUGAGAGGAUUAACGGCCACAUUGGGACUGAGACACGGCCCAGACUCCUACGGGAGGCAGCAGUGGGGAAUCUUCCGCAAUGGGCGCAAGCCUGACGGAGCAACGCCGCGUGAGUGAAGAAGGUCUUCGGAUCGUAAAGCUCUGUUGAUGGGGACGAACGUGCCUAAUGCGAAUAGUUUUAGGUAAUGA